rnacentral:rRNA from 1 species
UACAGAGGUCUCAAGCGUUGUUCGGAUUCAUUGGGCGUAAAGGGUGCGUAGGUGGCGCCAUAAGUCAGGUGUGAAAUCUCGGGGCUCAACCCCGAAACUGCAUUUGAUACUGUGGUGCUCGAGUACUGGAGAGGAGAUUGGAAUUUACGGUGUAGCAGUGAAAUGCGUAGAUAUCUGGAGGAACACCGGUGGCGAAGGCGGCAUUCUGGACCAUUACUGACGCUGAGGAGCGAAAGCCAGGGGAGCAAACGGG